rnacentral:rRNA from 1 species
UACGAAAGAGGCUAGCGUUGUUCGGAAUUACUGGGCGUAAAGCGCACGUAGGCGGCCUGCCAAGUUAGGGGUGAAAGCCCAGAGCUCAACUCUGGAAUUGCAUCGAAAACUGGUAAGCUCGAGGAUGUGAGAGGUGAGUGGAAUUCCGAGUGUAGAGGUGAAAUUCGUAGAUAUUCGGAAGAACACCGGUGGCGAAGGCGACUCACUGGCACAUUUCUGACGCUGAGGUGCGAAAGCGUGGGGAGCAAACGGG